rnacentral:rRNA from 1 species
AGAGUUUGAUCAUGGCUCAGAUUGAACGCUGGCGGCAUGCCUUACACAUGCAAGUCGAACGGUAGAGUAGCAAUACUCGAGAGUGGCGAACGGGUGAGUAAUAUAUCGGAACGUGCCCAGUCGUGGGGGAUAACGUAGAGAAAUUUACGCUAAUACCGCAUACGAUCUAAGGAUGAAAGCGGGGGAUCGCAAGACCUCGCGCGAUUGGAGCGGCUGAUAUCAGAUUAGGUUGUUGGUGAGGUAAAAGCUCACCAAGCCGACGAUCUGUAGCUGGUUUGAGAGAACGACCAGCCACACUGGGACUGAGACACGGCCCAGACUCCUACGGGAGGCAGCAGUGGGGAAUUUUGGACAAUGGGCGAAAGCCUGAUCCAGCAAUGCCGCGUGCAGGAAGAAGGCCUUCGGGUUGUAAACUGCUUUUGUACGGAACGAAACGGCUCUUUCUAAUAAAGAGGGCCAAUGACGGUACCGUAAGAAUAAGCACCGGCUAACUACGUGCCAGCAGCCGCGGUAAUACGUAGGGUGCGAGCGUUAAUCGGAAUUACUGGGCGUAAAGCGUGCGCAGGCGGUUCUAUAAGACAGAUGUGAAAUCCCCGGGCUCAACCUGGGAAUGGCAUUUGUGACUGUAGGGCUAGAGUACGGUAGAGGGGGAUGGAAUUCCGCGUGUAGCGUGAAAUGCGUAGAUAUGCGGAGGAACACCGAUGGCGAAGGCAAUCCCCUGGACCUGUACUGACGCUCAUGCACGAAAGCGUGGGGAGCAAACAGGAUUAGAUACCCUAGUAGUCC